rnacentral:tRNA from 2 species
GCGGGAAUGGCGGAAUUGGCAGACGCGCUAGAUUCAGGUUCUAGUGAGCAAUACGCUCAUGCAGGUUCAAGUCCUGUUUCCCGCA